rnacentral:lncRNA from 1 species
CUCAAGGAGAUUUUGUCGUCUGAGUAGCCACAGCUUCGACAAGUCGAGGCACUUGAUCAGAAAGUGAAGAUGAACAAACUUGCAUUAAUUUGCCAUUCCUUAACUCUCAAUCGUCAGUUUACCAACUCUUUUAUGUAAUGCUUGGCUUAAGAGAACCUAAGUCAUUAUCCAUGGAUUGACCCUCAAAAUUUAAUUUCACCUGUUUGUUUUCUUACCAAAGAGCUGAGAAUUUUUUGCAUAGGUUUCCUCAUGC